GAUGAACGCUGGCGGCGUGCCUAAUACAUGCAAGUCGAGCGAACAGACGAGGAGCUUGCUCCUCUGACGUUAGCGGCGGACGGGUGAGUAACACGUGGAUAACCUACCUAUAAGACUGGGAUAACUUCGGGAAACCGGAGCUAAUACCGGAUAAUAUAUUGAACCGCAUGGUUCAAUAGUGAAAGACGGUUUUGCUGUCACUUAUAGAUGGAUCCGCGCCGCAUUAGCUAGUUGGUAAGGUAACGGCUUACCAAGGCAACGAUGCGUAGCCGACCUGAGAGGGUGAUCGGCCACACUGGAACUGAGACACGGUCCAGACUCCUACGGGAGGCAGCAGUAGGGAAUCUUCCGCAAUGGGCGAAAGCCUGACGGAGCAACGCCGCGUGAGUUAUGAAGGUCUUCGGAUCGUAAAACUCUGUUAUUAGGGAAGAACAAAUGUGUAAGGAACUAUGCACGUCUUUACGGUACCUAAUCAGAAAGGCACGGCUAACUACGUG
rnacentral:rRNA from 1 species